rnacentral:rRNA from 1 species
CAGUCGUACGCUUCUUUUUCCACCGGAGCUUGCUCCACCGGAAAAAGAAGAGUGGCGAACGGGUGAGUAACACGUGGGUAACCUGCCCAUCAGAAGGGGAUAACACUUGGAAACAGGUGCUAAUACCGUAUAACAAUCGAAACCGCAUGGUUUUGAUUUGAAAGGCGCUUUCGGGUGUCGCUGAUGGAUGGACCCGCGGUGCAUUAGCUAGUUGGUGAGGUAACGGCUCACCAAGGCCACGAUGCAUAGCCGACCUGAGAGGGUGAUCGGCCACAUUGGGACUGAGACACGGCCCAAACUCCUACGGGAGGCAGCAGUAGGGAAUCUUCGGCAAUGGACGAAAGUCUGACCGAGCAACGCCGCGUGAGUGAAGAAGGUUUUCGGAUCGUAAAACUCUGUUGUUAGAGAAGAACAAGGAUGAGAGUAACUGUUCAUCCCUUGACGGUAUCUAACCAGAAAGCCACGGCUAACUACGUGCCAGCAGCCGCGGUAAUACGUAGGUGGCAAGCGUUGUCCGGAUUUAUUGGGCGUAAAGCGAGCGCAGGCGGUUUCUUAAGUCUGAUGUGAAAGCCCCCGGCUCAACCGGGGAGGGUCAUUGGAAACUGGGAGACUUGAGUGCAGAAGAGGAGAGUGGAAUUCCAUGUGUAGCGGUGAAAUGCGUAGAUAUAUGGAGGAACACCAGUGGCGAAGGCGGCUCUCUGGUCUGUAACUGACGCUGAGGCUCGAAAGCGUGGGGAGCAAACAGGAUUAGAUACCCUGGUAGUCCACGCCGUAAACGAUGAGUGCUAAGUGUUGGAGGGUUUCCGCCCUUCAGUGCUGCAGCUAACGCAUUAAGCACUCCGCCUGGGGAGUACGACCGCAAGGUUGAAACUCAAAGGAAUUGACGGGGGCCCGCACAAGCGGUGGAGCAUGUGGUUUAAUUCGAAGCAACGCGAAGAACCUUACCAGGUCUUGACAUCCUUUGACCACUCUAGAGAUAGAGCUUCCCCUUCGGGGGCAAAGUGACAGGUGGUGCAUGGUUGUCGUCAGCUCGUGUCGUGAGAUGUUGGGUUAAGUCCCGCAACGAGCGCAACCCUUAUUGUUAGUUGCCAUCAUUCAGUUGGGCACUCUAGCAAGACUGCCGGUGACAAACCGGAGGAAGGUGGGGAUGACGUCAAAUCAUCAUGCCCCUUAUGACCUGGGCUACACACGUGCUACAAUGGGAAGUACAACGAGUCGGGAAGUCGCGAGGAUAAGCUAAUUUCUUAAAGCUUUUCUCAGUUCGGAUUGUAGGCUGCAACUCGCCUACAUGAAGCCGGAAUCGCUAGUAAUCGCGGAUCAGCACGCCGCGGUGAAUACGUUCCCGGGCCUUGUACACACCGCCCGUCACACCACGAGAGUUUGUAACACCCGAAGUCGGUGAGGUAACCU